UCCAGCUUCCGCUUUGCUCGCUCCAGGUCCAUGCGCACCUUCUUCUCCUGCUCCAGGGAUCCCUCCAGCUGGCAGAGAGAAUUAAAUGAAUAAGCCUGAAGGUCAUCUAGGGCUUGCUGGUGGGCCUCUUGAAGAGCUUUCUUCUCCUUGGUCAGCUUGGCAAUGAUCUCGUCCAGCCCGGCCAUCUCCUCUGUCAGGUUUUUAACCUUCCAAGAAAGAAUAAACAUCAAUAAAUAAGUCCACAUAGCUUUUGAGGAUCAAAGGGUGCCAUCGUGCAGACACCUAUAAAGGCGCUACCAACUACGCCCAUACUCUGGUCUGGAAAUCAGAAGGAGCCGGCCUCACCUUGUUCUCUGUUGCGUGCUUUUCCUUCUCCACCUUGGCCAGGGUCAGCUCCAUCUUCUUCUUCACCCGCAGGGCCUCGUUGCGGCUGCGCGUCUCGGCAUCCAGGGAGGUCUGCAGGGAGUCCACCACCCGCAGGUGGUUGCGCUUGGCCUGCUCCAUCUCCUCGUCCUUCUCUGCCAGCUUCCUUUCGAUCUCUGCCUUGAU
rnacentral:lncRNA from 1 species